CGCGGCCUAUCAGCUUGUUGGUGGGGUAAUGGCUCACCAAGGCGACGACGGGUAGCCGGCCUGAGAGGGUGACCGGCCACACUGGGACUGAGACACGGCCCAGACUCCUACGGGAGGCAGCAGUGGGGAAUAUUGCGCAAUGGGCGAAAGCCUGACGCAGCGACGCCGCGUGAGGGACGAAGGUCUUCGGAUUGUAAACCUCUUUCAGCCGGGACGAAGCGAAAGUGACUGUACCUGCAGAAGAAGCACCGGCUAACUACGUGCCAGCAGCCGCGGUAAUACGUAGGGUGCAAGCGUUGUCCGGAUUUAUUGGGCGUAAAGAGCUCGUAGGCGGUUUGUCGCGUCGGAUGUGAAAACCCAAUGGCUUAACCUUGGGCCUGCAUUCGAUACGGGCAAACUAGAGUGUGGUAGGGGAGACUGGAAUUCCUGGUGUAGCGGUGAAAUGCGCAGAUAUCAGGAGGAACACCGGUGGCGAAGGCAGGUCUCUGGGCCAUAACUGACGCUGAGAAGCGAAAGCAUGGGUAGCGAACAGGAUUAGAUACCCUGGUAGUCCAUGCCGUAAACGUUGGGCGCUAGGUGUGGGGCUCAUUCCACGAGUUCUGUGCCGCAGCUAACGCAUUAAGCGCCCCGCCUGGGGAGUACGGA
rnacentral:rRNA from 1 species